GUUUUCAGGCGGCCUCCUGAGAAAUGUUUGCAAUUGUAAGGCGUCUCUCUCAUCCAGGUUUACCCAGAUUCGCAAACUAUGGCGACAAACAACCAUAGCAGAAGCAUGUCCGGAUUAUUUCACAUAUAUCACAAAAUCCUGCAAAGGGUCUGUCCCCAUUGGAUCACCUCCCAUCACGCCACACACGACGUGAAUGACUUCGUGCUUCUCCAUACCUGCAUUGAUCUCUGGGUCCAUUGCCAGUUAUAAACCUCCAAGGGCAAUAGCCAUGAGGUGAUGUACAGUCAAGCAUCACUUAAUAACCAGGAUACAUUCUGAGAAAUUUGUCGUUAGGCAAUUUUUUCAUUGCACGAACCUCACAGAGUGUACUUACACUAACCUAGAUAGUAGCAUCCAGUAAACACCUGGGCUAUAUGGUCUAGCCUAUUGCUCCUAGGCUACAAACCUGUAUAGCAUGUUACUGUACUGAAUAUGUAGGCACUUGUAACACAAUGGUAAGUGUUUUUGUAUCUAAACAUAUCUAAACAUAGGAGAGGUAAUGCAUUGUGCUACAGCAUUACAAUGGCUAUGACAGACACUAGGCAAUAGGAAUUUUCCAGCUCCAUUAUAAUCUUAAGGGACCACCAUGGCACAUGCAGCCCAUUGUUGACCAAAAGUUGUUAUGUGGUGAAUGACUAUAAUUGGCUUUUCAGAGCAACCACUCACAAGGGGGUGUAGUAUAGCUUACUAGACAAAACUGCAGCCGCUGCUCUGUUUUUUGCUCUUAGAAAACUGAGUACCUGAUUUGGACAAAAUCAUAAUAAAAUUUAGAUAGAGCCAACAUUUGUCCUCUGGAAGUUUCUGACAAGAUACAAGUCACCGUUAUAAUAGUCAAAUGUCAAAGUGGUAUAUCUAACAAAAUUAAAACAGACAGCUAGGAGUGAGAAGAUUUAAGAAAAUUCAGGUGGCCCAAAGGAAAGCCAAGACAAGACAUUCUCUCCCGGCCUUUGGGCCUGGAUUUUCAUUUCAGCAGGUAACGAGGAGACCAAAGGCCUAGUUAUUUAUGGAGAUCUGGGGCCACAGCAGAGCUCCUCAUGGCAGGAUAAGGCAGUGGAAAGCAGACUCAACGGUUAACCCACAGUCCUCCUCAGCAAGCUGGGAGAAGCAACUGAUGCCACUUAGAUGCUUAGACCGGGCCUUCUGGGAGAGAUCUGGCCCAAGGAGCAGCCGGCAGCUUGACACAGUGACCAAUUGGAAGCACAGCAGCCACACGCCAUGAAACAAGGUGAUCAUCUUCACUCAUUUCCUGAGGCCAGAGCCUUCCUUACGCAGGACAUGGAUACCCCAGUCCCAGCUGUGCUGAAGCGUCAGGAAGCCUCCCCCGACCCCACCCUGAACAACAGUGAGGGGGGUUAGGUGUCCUCAAAAGAUCUACUCUGUCAACUGGAGUUGUUGAGAAACUCAGGAAAGGGAACUAAAAAGGAUAAGAAAGUGGUGCAUUCCAGUGUCUUCCUGUUCUCUGUUGCAGAGAGCCAGCUGGUGGACCGCAGAGACAGACUUCCAGCCAGGGCCAAGCCCUUCAGGAAGGGAGUCAUGCACCAAACUCAGCUAACAGACCACCAGGGCACCACUGGGUCUCCUGCUGGGGAACAGCACACCUAUGGGUGGGCUCUAGGGGUGGGGUGGCCUGGUUGCUGGUUCUGCUCUGCCACUUCUUAGCUGGACUUGAGCAAUUUGUAACAUUUCUUGGCUCAGUUUCUCCACCUGCACAAUCAAAAUAUCACUACCUUCCUCCAAGAUUGCAUUAAGUGUGACAAUUUAUGUAAAGCACUUAGUCCAGUGCCUGGCACCUAGUAAGUACUGAAUAGUGAAAACAAUUUAAGUCUAACAAAUCCACACACCAUGACGUCAGACAAAUUAGGCAUCUUUCAUUGCUGUUGUGAAAAUUGCGCUAACUCUAAACUCUAACGUACAUCUGGCUCACUGUCUUUCUGUAAGACCAGUCAGAGCAGCAGCUCCUUCCUUGGUAAAAUACUUUAAAAAACUCCCAUUCCUGGCUGGGCACCGGGGCUCACGCCUGUAAUCCCAGUAGAUUGGGAGGCUGAGGCGGGUGAAUCACUUGAGGUCAGGAGUUCGAGACUAGCCUGGCCAACAUGGUGAAACCCCAUCUCUACUAAAAAUACAAAAUUAGCUGAGGGUGGUGGCAGACACCUGUAAUCCCAGCUACUCUGGAGGCUGAGGCAGAAGAAUCGCCUGGAGGCGGAGGAUGCCAUGAGCCGAGAUCGUGCCACUGCACUCCAGCCUGUGCAACAGAGUGAGACUCUGUCUCAAAAAGCAAACAAACAAGAAACCCCAAAAACUCCCAUUCCUGGGCACCCAUUCUGAUUUUCUUCCUCAUUUACUUCCCUGCCCAAUCGUUGUCUCUAUGUUGCAAUUUGUGGGGGUCAGUCAGAACUGCUUUUCUUCAGAAGCCACUCUUACCCGUUCAGUGACCUCAUUCAGCUCAUGCUAGGGCAGAAUCCACAGCUCUUUCUCUGACGUUUCCACAGUGUGAAGACUCACACAUCUAACUGCCUGCAGAACAUCUCCACUUGGAUCUUGUUAGAUUGUGUGGGUUUCCCAGAAACAGACACCAAGACAGAGUUUGGGGCACAAGAUAAUCUAUUAGGGAUUAACACCUGUGAAAGGAAGGGGCUGGAGGCCUAUUUGGCAGGGGGAAGAGGUGAACUGUGAUAUAGGCCUGUGGGAACCUUAGACAAUCCAGCAGGGAGCAGGGGGAAGGGAGCAGGGAGCUCUGCAGCGAAUACUGCCCAGGACAUAGUUCCUGGGCUAUAUGGCCUAGCCUAUUGCUCCUAGGCUACAAACCUGUAUAGCAUGUUACUGUACUGAAUAUGCAGGCACUUGUAACACAAUGUUAAGUAUUUCAUCAGAGGUGCCCCGCAUCAGGCCAAAGUGGCCCAGCCUUUGUGCCCCGACUUGCUCAGUCAUGGAUGCAAGCUGCCUUAAGAAGGGUGUGACCUCAGACAAAGUGGCUUUCUGCAGGCCAGUUGUGGCCAGGUGGAAGCCAUCUACCAACUUCACUCCCCACAGCUGAGCAAGUCCCUCCUUGAAGGGGAUCUGGGUGGGGUGUCUCCAAGUUUGCUAGAUUAUCUCCCAGCCAUUUCAAAUUCAACAAGUCCAUAACCAAACCCUUGAUUUUACCUGGCUCCCCAGUGUCCCCUUCCCACUCUUUCUUCUCUUACCACUUUGCUCAGGCCAAAACCAAAGUCCCAGCCUCUCUUCCACAAAUGCCCCUUGGUCAAUCUAUCUACACAUAUCCUUCCAUCGCUCCCUUCAGAAUACGUCCAGAACCCAACCACUUCUCAUCUCCUCCAUGGUUCGACCCAUACUCAGCCACACCCCAGCACCAACCCCACGGAUAAUCGCAGUAGCUCCAUAGCUUCCUACCUAAGCGUUACCCCUGCCCACUUUUCUUGCUCUAUUUUCUGCACAUGCAUUGGCGUGAAAUAUUUUUUAUUUUAUUUUAUUAAAUAGAGACAGGGUGUUGCUAUGUUGGGCCUGAUUAUAUUUUUAAAAAAUAAAAAAGGGCCAGGUGCAGUGGCUCACACCUGUAGUCCCAGCACUUUGGGAGGCCAAGGCAGUAGGAUCACUUGAGGCCAGGAAUUUGAGACCAGUCUGGGCAACAUAAUGAGAUGCUGUGUCUCUGUUUAAAAGAUACAUAUAAGUUUAAAAAAUAUUUUCAUUUAUAUACAAUCAGAUCGCCUCAUAUGUCUGCUCAAAGCCAUUUGGUGGCUCCCAUUCAUACUCAGAAUUAAACCCAGAUUCCUUACUGUGGCCUAUCAGCCCUGCAUCAUUCUGUCCCUCUCCUCAACAUGAUCAACUAUUGCUCUUCCCCACAUGACAUCCUACUCCCUCAUCACUCUCUAAACCAGAGCUGCCCAAUACAGGAGCCACCAGUCUCAUAUGGCUACUGAGCAGGUGAAACCUGUGGCUAGUCCAAAUUGAGAUGCUGCCUGUAUCAAAUACAUUGUUUCAGACUUAGUUCAGAAAAGAGAAUGUAAAAUUUCUUUUCUGUUUUUUUGAGACAAUCUUCCUCUGUUGCCCAGGCUGGAUUGCAGUGGCACGAUCUUGGCUCACUGCAACCUCCGCCUCCUAGGUUCAAGUGAUUCUUAUGCCUCAGCCUCCUGAGUAACUGGGAUUAUAGGCAUGUGCCACCACACCUGGCUAAUUUUUGUAUUUUUAGUAGAAAUGGGGUUUCUCCAUGUUGGUCAGGCUGCUCUCGAACUCCUUACCUCAAGUGAUCCACUCACCUUGGCCUCUCAAAGUGCUGGGAUUACAGGCAUGAGCCACUGUGCCCAGUCCAAGAAUCUAAAAUUUCCCAUUAAUAAUUUUUAAAUAUUGUUUGUAAAUUGAAAUAAUAUAUUUAAUAUAUUGGGUUAAAUG
rnacentral:lncRNA from 1 species